CACCCCAAUUGUUGUAAUCACUUAUUUCUUUGUUCUUGGGUUGUUGUUAAUUUGUCUAAUUUGUUCUGCAACUCUAGGUUGGCUAUCCUUUAGUGACGCUUCUUCUGUGUCUUGGUGAUCCACGUGUUUUUGUUAGUAACUUUGGUCCUCACAUGGAGCAACUGUAUAAGCUUCUGAAGGAUAAGAACCAUCGAUUCAUGGCCUUAGACUGCUUACAUCGUGUACGGAGAUUCUACUUGAGUGUUCACGGUGAUUCUCAGCCUCCAAAUCGUGUGUGGGAUUACCUAGACAGUGUAACAAGACAGCUCCUUACAUUUCUCAGAAUGGGCAUGCUUACACAGGAUGUACAACAUGAUAAGCUCAUCGAAUUCUGUGUGACUAUUGCUUAACAUAACAUUGAAUUUGCUAUGAAUGAUGUGAUAUUGGAGUUAAUGAAGCAACACGGUCCAAGUGAAUCAAAAGUUAUUCGUCUUCGUGCUUUGCUUGCCAUUGUCAUGUCUCCUACCGGCCAGCAUUUUGGCUUGGAAAUUCUCCAUGUUUGUGGUGUUGGCCACUUCAUCCCAAAAGUGAAGGCUGCAAUUGACUCAAUUUUGAGAUCUUUUCAUAGGACAUAUAGCCAGGCUCUUCUUAAUUCUUCAAGGACCGCUAUGGGUAAUUAUCUACACUACAAAUAACACUUUCAAUUUUGAGAUCUUUUCAUAGGACAUAUAGCCAGGUGCUUCUUAAUUCUUCAAGGACCGCUAUGGGUAAUUAUCUACACUACAAAUAACACUUAUACUCUUGAAGAUUGAUGGGAUUUAACUUGUAUAUUGUUAUGGUAGGUUAGCUGAAAUCUGGAAUUUAAUUCAAGUAUUUUGUACUUUAUUUUGUUUAUGACUGUUACGUCCUUAAGAUGCUUUUCUUAACUGCUUUCCUGUUGAAAAUGUGUUAUUUGUAUCGAGUGAUAAUCCAUCAUGGAUGUGCAUACCUUUUAUCCGAUUAGUGUAUUGAAAGUAUGCCCCUUAAAGCAUGAACGACAGAACUAUGUGUGGUGGUUGCAUCUAAUUGCAUUAAUCUGUCUCGGUAAGCAUGUGUGGAUGUUCAAGCUUCAUUUUCAUUCAAUGCUGCAAGUUUGACAUAUUAAACUUUGAUUGUUCAUGUCAUAUUCUUACAACUUUGAAGUCUUUCAUUCACCGGUCAAUCUUUUGUCUCUGCUAAAUGCUGCUUGUCUUUAUACUGCUUUGUGUUAUGUUUAUGGUUUACGAUGUAAAAUCAUCACACUAAAUCUUGAUUCAUCAUCCACAUUUUUGAGGUUUGAUACCAAUAAACUAGCCACAAUUAACAUUCUAUUCAUCUCCUAAAAAGUAUUUUUUGGUUUGGUAGAUUGAACUGC